GAUACUGUAUUGUUGCAUUUCUCAUGCAGAGAUCAAAAGAUCAAGCUAUUCUCAUGCAGUUUCCAGCUCUUUACUAUCCAUUUUGUGAUCAUACAAAUAAACAUAAACUUUAAAACGCACAUUUGAAAUCAUCCAUCUUCAUCAAAGCAGGCCCUUGAGAUUCUGCCAAUGGGACAGACACUCAUGUUGCUCGUGUGCUAACUUUCUCACAGUAUCAAAGCAAGGUCUUUUUGAACGGGAAUGCACUGCAAAGAUAAAGCUCAGUACAACAGAUCGUGGGAACAAGAAGAAACAAAAAUAUAUCACAAGACCAAAAGCUGCCAGAAAGCUUUCCUCGCAGCACUCCCACAAAAUAUCUCAACUACUUCACAAAAUUUCUCAAAUACUCAACGAAUACACGACUUCUUGAAAAUGUUAUGUGAAUUAGGUUGCAACUUUUACUUUUUUUAACAUGGUGAAACAGCGAAAUUGAAGUUGAUGUAACAAUAUCAUCUGUUGACAACUGACACACUGAAAAGGUGGUACAUUUGCAAUGCGAUUCAAUCAUGGCAAAGCAUUUAUAUUUAAGGCAUUUAGCAGAUGCUUUUAUCCAGAGUGACUUAAAAAGUGCUUUAGCUUCAUAAAGGAAAGAAAUACGUGAAAAGCCAGUGCAGGGUCAAGAGUUUUUACAUCAAUUCGAGAUCUUCAGUUACGAUCAUCAUUUUAAUAACCAAAAUAACAAUUACAUAAUGUAGCAUGUUCUUGCUUUACAAAUGAUGCAAUGCACAACUUGUACCUGCUUAAAAUGGACCAAAAUUUGCAUCUAAUCACCGAGUAACUCAACCACAUAUUAAGGCUUUGAUAUAAUGUGGGAAAAACUAGACGAUGCUUACAUUUAGCAAUACCGCAGUGAGUUAAGGCUCAAAGGUGGCCCAUCUGUUAAUGAUAGCAGUAAAACGAGCAAACGUUACAUUCAUUCGUCAACGGUCUCAAAAAUAAAAGCUGGGUGGAGCUGGAAAGGACAAAAAGUAGCUCUGGUAAAACUGAAAUCUUUUUCACAAAGACAUGAGUAUUUACAAUGACGAAGGUAAAAAGGUGAACAAAAGUGAAACAUUAAAUAUAUUCCUGGUUCUUCUGCUCAAUCUAAUGAAUUAAAAGACUUUACAGACACCCUGUAGUAAAUAUGAAAAGCACAGAUGCUGCAGCAAAACUCAGUGAUGUUUUCAUGAGAUAUCAUUCAACAACACGGCCUAGCGUUCACCUAGCCACAGCUAACCUAUCACAAACAACCUAACUGCAAUCCCGCUGGUUAGUACCAGGAAAUGAAUCAUUUGUAUACUUUGAUCUGCAGGAAAUGAUAGCUGUUCACAGUAAAUAAGAAGCGCUUCCUUGUUUUCUGUUGUUCAGCAUGUUCAGCUGCACCAACUCAAUUUACGAUUUAUUUGGUAACUCUUGAGAGAAUCCUGAAAAUGGUUGAAAACUAAAGCUCACCAAUGACAGGAGGGUCUAAGAUGAACUCACAAACUAGUGGAGAAAGCACUUAUCAAAAGGGACCCCCAUUUGCUCUUUUUUUUUUUUUGCAAAGCAUACAAAAGUCUAUUUACACACACUUUAACUCACUUCCUUUCACAAUUAUCGAAACUCAUUUUUAUAAGUCAGUAUAUUCUGAA